rnacentral:rRNA from 1 species
GCUCGUAGUUGAACCUUGGGCCUGGCUGGCCGGUCCGCCUCACCCGCGUGCACUGGUCCGGCCGGGCCUUUCCUCCUGGGGAGCCGCAUGCCCUUCACUGGGUGUGUCGGGGAACCAGGACUUUUACUUUGAAAAAAUUAGAGUGUUCAAAGCAGGCCUAUGCUCGAAUACAUUAGCAUGGAAUAAUAGAAUAGGACGUGUGGUUCUAUUUUGUUGGUUUCUAGGACCGCCGUAAUGAUUAAUAGGGAUAGUCGGGGGCAUCAGUAUUCAAUUGUCAGAGGUGAAAUUCUUGGAUUUAUUGAAGACUAACUACUGCGAAAGCAUUUGCCAAGGAUGUUUUCAUUAAUCAGUGAACGAAAGUUAGGGGAUCGAAGACGAUCAGAUACCGUCGUAUUCUUAACCAUAAACUAUGCCGACUAGGGAUCGGGCGAUGUUAUCUUUUUGACUCGCUCGGCACCUUACGAGAAAUCAAAGUUUUUGGGUUCUGGGGGGAGUAUGGUCGCAAGGCUGAAACUUNNANAAAUUGACGGAAGGGCACCACCAGGAGUGGAGCCUGCGGNUUAAUUUGACUC